UCCCAAACAAUAAGAAUUUUACUUUAAAAUAAAUAAUAAAUAAUAUUGUUCUUACCUAUGUAGUUGACUAAGAACUUGAUGAUUGAUAUCUAAGAUCCGAAAGUUGAGUCUAAAUGUUUCACAUUUUUAGUUGAGUUUAUUUCUAAAAUAUGGAAAAAGUGGACAGUUUGCGACAUUUUGUUCUCUUGCUCUCAAAAUAAUAAUAAUAAUAAUAAUGAGAGUAAUUUUUAAAAAAGUAAUGGUAAAGACAAAUUAAAAAGAAAAUUAAAAAAACCUAAUAACUCAUUUAAUUGAUCAACAACUACUACAGUUGUGUGGGGAUAGUGAGAUAAAGAUGUGCUCAUUGUACUGUAUGAAAACCCAAACAUGUUAUCUAAGAAUGGGAAAUUCACUUUAAAAUAGAAAAGAAUAAUAAUGAGAACAAUAUAAUUAAACAAGCCUAACAAUGAGAGAAAAAUUAAAUCUAAAGUAAAAGGAAUAAUAAUAAGUUUUAGGAGGUUGUUAAAUAUAAAACUAUAAACGACGUUAAUUCUUAGAUAGCUUAAGGUUUUGAAGAAUAACGACUGUUUUAUAUAAUUUGACAUGAUAUCAGAAUAUGAGAUCCUAAGUUGAAGUCUUGCCAGAUUUUUAGCAUUAUUUAAUUUCUUUAUAUUUAAUUAAACCCAUAUGUUGGGUCUAUUAAAAAGUUUCGAAUUCAGACAUAAGCUGUGAGAGUGUCAAAUAUAAAAUAUAUAAACACCGUUCUCUAAUAAGUAUUUGGAAAAUAAAAAUUGUUUUAUAUAAUU
rnacentral:lncRNA from 1 species